rnacentral:rRNA from 1 species
AGUGAAGCGGGAAGAGCUCAAAUUUGAAAUCUGGUGGCCUCAGGUCAUCCGAGUUGUAAUCUAUAGAAGUGUUUUCCGUGCUGGCUCAUGUACAAGUCCCUUGGAACAGGGCGUCAUAGAGGGUGAGAAUCCCGUCCUUGACAUGAACUACCAGUGCUCUGUGAUACAUUUUCAACGAGUCGAGUUGUUUGGGAAUGCAGCUCAAAAUGGGUGGUAAAUUCCAUCUAAAGCUAAAUAUUGGCGAGAGACCGAUAGCGAACAAGUACCGUGAGGGAAAGAUGAAAAGCACUUUGGAAAGAGAGUUAAACAGUAUGUGAAAUUGUUAAAAGGGAAACGAUUGAAGUCAGUCGUGCUCUUUGGAUUCAGCCGGUUCUGCCGGUGUACUUCCUUUGAGUGGGGUCAACAUCAGUUUUGAUCGCUGGAUAAAGGCUGGAGGAACGUAGCACCCCCGGGUGAACUUAUAGCCUCCUGUCACAUACAGUGGUUGGGACUGAGGAACGCAGCACGCCUUUAUGGCCAGGAUCCGUCCAUGUACGUGCUUAGGAUGUUGACAUAAUGGCUUUAAACGACCCGUCUUGA